rnacentral:lncRNA from 1 species
UCAAUCAAAAAUCGAGGUGAUGCAAACCUAUUUGGAGGCGAUAGCUAAGUGGAAAAGGAAUCGAUGGGCAAAUUUUAUGGAGGAAAGAUCCCAAAACCUUUAAAGUUUACAAGGCGAUGUUAAUUAAAGCUCCCACGGACAUCCACCCAGCUCAAGUGGCAUAAAACAUUUGAGAGACUAGCACAUAACAAGGAAGAUCUUCUCCUUCAUCUAAAGGAUCCCUAGGAACCAAAAGGAUCAG